rnacentral:rRNA from 1 species
UACGGAGGGUGCAAGCGUUAUCCGGAUUCACUGGGUUUAAAGGGUGCGUAGGCGGGCAUGUAAGUCCGUGGUGAAAUCUCCGAGCUUAACUCGGAAACUGCCAUGGAUACUAUGUGUCUUGAAUGUUGUGGAGGUGAGCGGAAUAUGUCAUGUAGCGGUGAAAUGCUUAGAUAUGGCAUAGAACACCAAUUGCGAAGGCAGCUCACUACACAAAUAUUGACGCUGAGGCACGAAAGCGUGGGGAUCAAACAGG